rnacentral:rRNA from 1 species
ACCGCUAGCGACGGCCUAACACAUGCAAGUCGAGGGGUAACAUUUCAGCUUGCUGAAGAUGACGACCGGCGCACGGGUGAGUAACGCGUAUGCAACCUACCUUGUACAGGGGGAUAGCCCAGAGAAAUCUGGAUUAACACCGCAUAAUAUGAUUGAUUCGCAUGAAUUAGUUAUUAAAUCUUCGGAGGUACAAGAUGGGCAUGCGUAGCAUUAGUUAGUUGGUGAGGUAACGGCUCACCAAGACAAUGAUGCUUAGGGGGUCUGAGAGGAUAGUCCCCCACACUGGUACUGAGACACGGACCAGACUCCUACGGGAGGCAGCAGUGAGGAAUAUUGGUCAAUGGGCGCAAGCCUGAACCAGCCAUGUCGCGUGCAGGAUGACGGCCCUAUGGGUUGUAAACUGCUUUUUUACAGGAAUAAACUCAACUACGUGUAGUUGACUGAAGGUACUGUAGGAAUAAGGAUCGGCUAACUCCGUGCCAGCAGCCGCGGUAAUACGGAGGAUUCGAGCGUUAUCCGGAUUUAUUGGGUUUAAAGGGUCCGUAGGCGGGCUAAUAAGUCAGUGGUGAAAUCCCAGAGCUCAACUCUGGAACUGCCAUUGAUACUGUUAGUCUUGAAUUUAGUUGAGGUGGGCGGAAUACGUUAUGUAGCGGCGAAAUGCAUAGAUAUAACGUAGAACACCGAUUGCGAAGGCAGCUCACUAAGCUAAC